AUUGAACGCUGGCGGCAGGCCUAACACAUGCAAGUCGAGCGGAAACGAGUUAUCUGAACCUUCGGGGGACGAUAACGGCGUCGAGCGGCGGACGGGUGAGUAAUGCCUAGGAAAUUGCCCUGAUGUGGGGGAUAACCAUUGGAAACGAUGGCUAAUACCGCAUAAUGCCUACGGGCCAAAGAGGGGGACCUUCGGGCCUCUCGCGUCAGGAUAUGCCUAGGUGGGAUUAGCUAGUUGGUGAGGUAAUGGCUCACCAAGGCGACGAUCCCUAGCUGGUCUGAGAGGAUGAUCAGCCACACUGGAACUGAGACACGGUCCAGACUCCUACGGGAGCAGCAGUGGGGAAUAUUGCACAAUGGGCGCAAGCCUGAUGCAGCCAUGCCGCGUGUGUGAAGAGGCCUUUCGGGUUGUAAAGCACUUUCAGUCGUGAGGGUGGUGUAGUAUAGCUGCAUUACUUGACGUUUAGCGAC
rnacentral:rRNA from 1 species